UACGGAGGGUGCAAGCGUUAUCCGGAUUCACUGGGUUUAAAGGGUGCGUAGGCGGGUUGGUAAGUCAGUGGUGAAAGCCCCAAGCUCAACUUGGGAACUGCCAUUGAUACUGCCAGUCUUGAGUGUGGUUGAAGUGGGCGGAAUAUGACAUGUAGCGGUGAAAUGCUUAGAUAUGUCAUAGAACACCGAUUGCGAAGGCAGCUCACUAAGCCAUUACUGACGCUGAGGCACGAAAGCGUGGGGAGCGAACAGG
rnacentral:rRNA from 1 species